rnacentral:tmRNA from 1 species
GGGGGUGAAAGGGUUCGACUUGAGAUAGUCGGAUAAGAGCAGCAUGUCGCGGACGCAUGGUUAGCCGCGUUAAUAACCCGUGCACAAUUCAAACGCAAACACGACAGUGUCACGUUUAGGGCCGGCAUUGGGAUUGUCCUUUGGGGCAAGACCGAUGUUUAUCCCAACAGUCUGCUUUAACUAAGUUAGAGCAGCCUCUAACCGUCCAGCCUACGGGAUGGAUUAGGGCCUUGGUAGGAUAGUCUCGGCGGUUAGCCGUCCAAGCCGGGAUGAAAUCGAAAAGGCUGCGCUUUGCAAAUCCUGCCUGGUAGAAGUUGCAAGGCUAAGA